GACGGAGGAGGCAAGCGCUAUCCGGCAUUAUUGGGCGUAAAGGGUACGUAGGCGGCUGGUCAAGUCUGGGGUCAAAGGCCACAGCUCAACUGUGGAAAGGCCCUGGAAACUGACCGGCUAGAGUGAGGUAGGGGUUGCGGGAAUUCCCGGUGUAGCGGUGAAAUGCGUAGAGAUCGGGAAGAACACCUGAGGCGGAAGCGCGCAACUGGGCCUCAACUGACGCUGAGGUACGAAAGCUAGGGGAGCGAAUGGG
rnacentral:rRNA from 1 species